GGGAAGAGGGCUCGGCUACCAUGCAGUCGAGCGGUAGCACAGAGAGCUUGCUCUCGGGUGACGAGCGGCGGACGGGUGAGUAAUGUCUGGGAAACUGCCUGAUGGAGGGGGAUAACUACUGGAAACGGUAGCUAAUACCGCAUAAUGUCGCAAGACCAAAGUGGGGGACCUUCGGGCCUCAUGCCAUCAGAUGUGCCCAGAUGGGAUUAGCUAGUAGGUGGGGUAACGGCUCACCUAGGCGACGAUCCCUAGCUGGUCUGAGAGGAUGACCAGCCACACUGGAACUGAGACACGGUCCAGACUCCUACGGGAGGCAGCAGUGGGGAAUAUUGCACAAUGGGCGCAAGCCUGAUGCAGCCAUGCCGCGUGUAUGAAGAAGGCCUUCGGGUUGUAAAGUACUUUCAGCGGGGAGGAAGGCGAUAAGGUUAAUAACCUUGUCGAUUGACGUUACCCGCAGAAGAAGCACCGGCUAACUCCGUGCCAGCAGCCGCGGUAAUACGGAGGGUGCAAGCGUUAAUCGGAAUUACUGGGCGUAAAGCGCACGCAGGCGGUCUGUCAAGUCGGAUGUGAAAUCCCCGGGCUCAACCUGGGAACUGCAUUCGAAACUGGCAGGCUAGAGUCUUGUAGAGGGGGGUAGAAUUCCAGGUGUAGCGGUGAAAUGCGUAGAGAUCUGGAGGAAUACCGGUGGCGAAGGCGGCCCCCUGGACAAAGACUGACGCUCAGGUGCGAAAGCGUGGGGAGCAAACAGGAUUAGAUACCCUGGUAGUCCACGCCGUAAACGAUGUCGAUUUGGAGGUUGUGCCCUUGAGGCGUGGCUUCCGGAGCUAACGCGUUAAAUCGACCGCCUGGGGAGUACGGCCGCAAGGUUAAAACUCAAAUGAAUUGACGGGGGCCCGCACAAGCGGUGGAGCAUGUGGUUUAAUUCGAUGCAACGCGAAGAACCUUACCUGGUCUUGACAUCACA
rnacentral:rRNA from 1 species